rnacentral:miRNA from 15 species
ACCUUUGCCUGGCUCAUCAUCUGUGUGGACUUCUCCUGGUUAAUAGCAACGAAGGAGGAUGCAGAUGGUGAUGCUGUUGACAGAAGAUAGAGAGCACAGAUGAUGACAUGCGAUGG